GCCAGUGUAGUGUAGUGGUUUAAGCUUUAGACUACAACUCUGGAGAUCAGUGUUCAAUUCCCUGCUCAGGCA